GACGAACGCUGGCGGCGUGCUUAACACAUGCAAGUCGAGCGGUAAGGCCCUUUCGGGGGUACACGAGCGGCGAACGGGUGAGUAACACGUGGGUGACCUGCCUUUAGCUCUGGGAUAAGCCUGGGAAACUGGGUCUAAUACCGGAUAUGACCCUAUGGCGCAUGUUGUGGGGUGGAAAGCCUUGUGCGGCUAGGGAUGGGCCCGCGGCCUAUCAGCUUGUUGGUGGGGUGAUGGCCUACCAAGGCGACGACGGGUAGCCGGCCUGAGAGGGCGACCGGCCACACUGGGACUGAGACACGGCCCAGACUCCUACGGGAGGCAGCAGUGGGGAAUCUUGCGCAAUGGGCGAAAGCCUGACGCAGCGACGCCGCGUGAGGGAUGACGGCCUGGU
rnacentral:rRNA from 1 species